rnacentral:rRNA from 1 species
UAAGAUUGUAGUAUCGCAUGAUAUAGCAAUUAAAGAGCAAUUCGCUAUAAGAUGGACCCGCGUCGCAUUAGCUAGUUGGUGAGGUAAUGGCUCACCAAGGCGACGAUGCGUAGCCGACCUGAGAGGGUGAUCGGCCACAUUGGGACUGAGACACGGCCCAGACUCCUACGGGAGGCAGCAUG